rnacentral:rRNA from 1 species
AUUGAACGCUGGCGGCAGGCCUAACACAUGCAAGUCGAACGCGUGGCGGACGGGUGAGUCUUGUUUGGGAAACUGCCUGAUGGAGGGGGAUAACUAUUGGAACCGGUAGCUAAUACCGCAUACCUUCCGAUGUGCCCUGAUGGUUUAUGCUUGUUGGUGGGGAAACGGCUCACGAAGGCGACGAUCCCUAGCUGGUCGGAGAGGAUGACCAGCCACACUGGAACUGAGACACGGUCCAGACUCCUACGGGAGGCAGCAGUGGGGAAUAUUGCACAAUGGGCGCAAGCCUGAUGCAGCCAUGCCGCGUGUAUGAAGAAGGCCUUCGGGUUGUAAAGUACUUUCAGCGGUGAGGCGUUACCCGCAGAGGAAGCACCGGCUAACUCCGUGCCAGCAGCCGCGGUAAUUC